rnacentral:rRNA from 1 species
UACGUAGGGGGCGAGCGUUGUCCGGAUUUAUUGGGCGUAAAGAGCUCGUAGGUGGUUCGGUAAGUCGGAUGUGAAAUCUCCAGGCUCAACCUGGAGGGGUCAUUCGAUACUGCCGUGACUCGAGUCCGGUAGGGGAGUGUGGAAUUCCCGGUGUAGCGGUGAAAUGCGCAGAGAUCGGGAGGAACACCCGUAGCGAAGGCGGCACUCUGGGCCGGUACUGACGCUGAGGAGCGAAAGCGUGGGGAGCAAACAGG